GACGAACGCUGGCGGCGUGCUUAACACAUGCAAGUCGAACGGAAAGGCCCUGCUUUUGUGGGGUGCUCGAGUGGCGAACGGGUGAGUAACACGUGAGUAACCUGCCCUUGACUUUGGGAUAACUUCAGGAAACUGGGGCUAAUACCGGAUAGGAGCUCCUGCUGCAUGGUGGGGGUUGGAAAGUUUCGGCGGUUGGGGAUGGACUCGCGGCUUAUCAGCUUGUUGGUGGGGUAGUGGCUUACCAAGGCUUCGACGGGUAGCCGGCCUGAGAGGGUGACCGGCCACAUUGGGACUGAGAAGCGGCCCAGACUCCUACGGGAGGCAGCAGUGGGGAAUAUUGCACAAUGGGCGGAAGCCUGAUGCAGCAACGCCGCGUGCGGGAUGACGGCCUUCGGGUUGUAAACCGCUUUCGCCUGUGACGAAGCGUGAGUGACGGUAAUGGGUAAAGAAGCACCGGCUAACUACGUG
rnacentral:rRNA from 1 species